rnacentral:lncRNA from 1 species
AUCCCCAAUUCGCAUUCCAGAAGAGAGAGGAUUCACUAUGCUUUGAACUCUCCCUCUGUGCUUACUUUCCCAAAACAACCCUUGCAAACAAUGUAAUUACACCGAUGAAGAAGAAAACAACUCACUCGUCGGCUUCGUCGGAGCCACAGUAGAAUAUAAUAUAGUAAGCGCGGUGAAGGUUUAGAUGUGAAGGAAACUGCCUUGGUGUCACUUGAGUUAUUACAUCCACUCCCGAAGACUGCUGACCUGUGUGUUCAAAUUGCUAGAAAUUUUGCACCUGUGGUGGAAAAACGGGUGAAGCAUGAAUUUGCCGUCACUGGAGCUAAGGUUAACAUCAUCUCACUCAUAAAACUCCAUUUAUGCAUUCAAGCAAUUUUUCUGUCUAAAAAUUGAUUAUAUAUACAUUGAUCAUGUGAUUAUUUACAUAUGAGAUCGAUCAUUACUAUAUUGAAUACAUGAAUGCUAUCGAUGUGUGAAAUUGAAUAAUUUUACCUUUAUCUCAUCUUAGAUCAAACAAAUAGACUACUGUUGUUAUUUCUAAACUUCUACCAAAAGUCUUAACAGAGUAAAAUAGAUACUAAUUAUCCAACAAGUGUUUGUCAUUUUUUGAAUUUCGUCACUUUUUGAGAGUUUGUCACAUUUUUUGAGUUUGUGUCACUUUUUUCUAUUUGUCACUUUCUUAUGUUUUGUCACUUUUUUUUUAAUAUGUGUAACUUUUUUAAAUUACAUAAAUUUUUUAAAUUAAAUUUAUGUCAAUUUUUUUUUUUAUUUUGGUCACUUUUUUAGUACUUGUCAAUUUUUUUGAAUUUUGAUAACAUUUUUUUUUAGUGUCUGUCACUUUUCUUCAAUUGCAUUUUAUAAGAAAAAAAUACUGUCAUUUUUUGAAUUUUUUGUCACUUUUUUUGUAAUUGUCACUUUUUUGAAUUUUUUUUUUCAUUUUUUAACUAUUUGCUAGCAUCAUGAAUGCUGAGAGUUUGCUGCAGCAUUGCAUUGUAGGUCGUCAGCACUGUCACGACACUACUGCUACAGCAUCAAUGACUUCAGCAUCGGCAUAGGGGGUUUAUGGUUUUUGGGUGUUAAUUCUUCCUCUUCUAGUAGCUGUAGCAUCGACGCCAGCACUAUUUUGGGUUUUGGGGUGUUUUCUUCCAAUUUUAUCUACUUAGCCGAAGGUUUUAUGGUUGUUUACCUGUUUUUAGUUUGCAAACCAGCUACAUGGUUGAUUUGUGACCAAAUAUUGGUAGUGGAUUGGGAUUGAGGAUAAGGGUGAAGUGUUUGGUGUAUGUGAUCAACUAUUAAAU